AUUGAACGCUGGCGGCAGGCCUAACACAUGCAAGUCGAGCGGAUGACGGGAGCUUGCUCCUUGAUUCAGCGGCGGACGGGUGAGUAAUGCCUAGGAAUCUGCCUGGUAGUGGGGGACAACGUUCCGAAAGGAGCGCUAAUACCGCAUACGUCCUACGGGAGAAAGUGGGGGAUCUUCGGACCUCACGCUAUCAGAUGAGCCUAGGUCGGAUUAGCUAGUUGGUGAGGUAAAGGCUCACCAAGGCGACGAUCCGUAACUGGUCUGAGAGGAUGAUCAGUCACACUGGAACUGAGACCCGGUCCAGAGUCCUACGGGAGGCAGCAGUGGGGAAUAUUGGACAAUGGGCGAAAGCCUGAUCCAGCCAUGCCGCGUGUGUGAAGAAGGUCUUCGGAUUGUAAAGCACUUUAAGUUGGGAGGAAGGGCAGUAAGUUAAUACCUUGCUGUUUUGACGUUACCGACAGAAUAAGCACCGGCUAACUCUGUG
rnacentral:rRNA from 1 species